rnacentral:misc_RNA from 1 species
UCUCCGUUGGUGAACCAGCGGAGGGAUCAUUAUCGAGUUUAUAACUCCCAAACCCUAUGUGAACUUACCACUUGUUGCUUCGGCUCGCGCUUCGGUGCCGCCGAGGACACUUAAACUCUCUGUUUUUAUAAGCAUUUCUGAGUGGCCGAAAGGCAAAAUACAAAUGAAUCAAAACUUUCAACAACGGAUCUCUUGGUUCUG